rnacentral:rRNA from 1 species
UACGUAGGGUGCAAGCGUUGUCCGGAAUUAUUGGGCGUAAAGAGCUCGUAGGCGGUUUGUCGCGUCUGCUGUGAAAACUCGGGGCUUAACCCCGGGCCUGCAGUGGGUACGGGCAGACUAGAGUGCGGUAGGAGAGACUGGAAUUCCUGGUGUAGCGGUGAAAUGCGCAGAUAUCAGGAGGAACACCGGUGGCGAAGGCGGGUCUCUGGGCCGUAACUGGCGCUGAGGAGCGAAAGCGUGGGGAGCGAACAGG